CACAGUAAAAUACAAUAAAUUAAAAUCAUACAUAACUUAGUUAAAUAGUUUAAGUGCAAGUAUAAUAUUAUAAAGUAAUCAAAAUAAAAAGCUAUACGUGCAUUAUCCUACUGUAUCAGUCAGUAGAUUGACGGGUCCAUACCACAGUUUUUGGCAACGAAAUACAGAGUGAAAACGCAAGAAAUGGGGAGGAACUAUAAAGAAAACAACAAAGAGAAGAGGACCACACACUGGAGUAUUCUUUGUUCCUGCAAAUAUCCAAGUUUAAAUAAAUAUGCACAAAUGCUGAUUGUAGAAAGGGACUAAUUGUACAGUUUUUUCGCAAUUUGUCAAACUGUCAUUCGUUUAACUAAAGACCCUUAUCAAGUAAAAUUACCUGUG